rnacentral:rRNA from 1 species
AUAUAAGUAGGCGGUGGAAAAUGAACCAAAUGGGAUUCCUUAAGUAAUUGCGAAUGAACAAGGAACUGCUCAGCUUGAAAAUUGGGGCCUUCGGCCUUGAAUUGUAAUUUUGAAAUGUAUUGCCAAUGGAGGCGCAGGUGCAAGCCUAUUGAAAGAAAGCGUCAAUGAGGGUGAGAUUCCUUUUUGUCAUUUGCAGUCCUCCGUGCACGGUAUAUAUUUGACGAGUCACACUCCUUGGCAUUGGAAUGCAAAGUGGGUGGUAAAUUCCAUGUAAAGGAAAAUAUAUUAUUGAGACUGAUAGCAAACAAGUACCAUGAGGGAAAUAUGAAAAGGACUUUGAAAAGAGAAUUAAAAGAGUCUGCAUUUGCUGAACAGAAAGCAAACAGAAUUGAUCUACUUGGUGAGAUUGUUGCGUCCACUUGUGGGUGCAAUGGUUCUUGCCUUGAAUGUCAGCGUCUAUUUCUGCAAAUUAUUACCCUUGCAUAUGAAUUGUAAUUUGCCUGUGGGCAUUGGAAUGCAUGUGUUUGCAAUGAUUUGUGAUUUGAUACAUGUGUCUGGUGUUCGCGUGUGUGCCUUCUUGCUAACACGGGGAGGGCUCUCCUCCCUGGGCACUGCAUG